CGCCCCCCGAACUUAGUACCAAUAACUAAAACAUCCCUUUAUGGGGGGUCGGACCUGCCCGGUGACAUAUGUUAAACGGCCGCGGUACUCUGACCGUGCAAAGGUAGCAUAAUCAUUUGCCUUUUAAUUGAAGGCUUGUAUGAAUGGUUUAACGAGAACUAAGCUGUCUCUUUUAGAAUAUAAAGAAAUUAAUUUUUAGGUGAAGAAGCCUAAAUUUAGUUGAGGGACAAGAAGACCCCUUUGAGCUUUAGUAAAUUAAUAAAAACCCGUUAUUAUUAAGAAUAUUUAAAACCUUUAUUAUAUACAUAUAAAUAUUAUUUAUUAAAAAUCUUUAGUUGGGGCGACUGAGGAACAAACAAAGCUUCCUUUAGAUUUCCAUAAACAGAAAAUCAAUUUACAAGAUCCAGUAUUUACUGAUCAGAGAAAAAAGUUACCACGGGGAUAACAGCGUAAUCCUCCUAAAGAGCUCUCAUCGAAGGGAGGGUUUGCGACCUCGAUGUUGGACUAAGAUAUCCUAGAGGUGCAGAAGCUUCUAAUGGUUAGUCUGUUCGACUAUUAAAAUCUU
rnacentral:rRNA from 1 species